rnacentral:rRNA from 1 species
GAUGAACGCUGGCGGCAUGCCUAACACAUGCAAGUCGGACGGGAAGUGGUGUUUCCAGUGUCGGACGGGUGAGUAACGCGUAAGAACCUGCCCUAGGGAGGGGAACAACAACUGGAAACGGUCGCUAAUAUCCCGUAGGCCGAGGAGCAAAUGGAGAUAUCCGCCCGAGGGGUGGCUUGCGUCUGCUUAGCUAGUUGGUGAGGUAAUAGCUUACCAAGGCGAGGAUCAGUAGCUAGUGCGAGAGGAUGAUCAGCCACACUGGGACUGAGACACGGCCCAGACUCCUUCGGGAGAAGGGCGUGGGGAAGUUUCCGCAAUGCGCGAAAGCGUGACAGGGCAUUGGCGCGUGAAAGUAGAUGGGCCACGGGUGAAGAACUUCUUUUUUCGGAGGAGAAACAAUGACGGUAUCUGAGGAAUAAGCAUCGGCUAACUCUGUG